CAUUAGCAGAGUCCUUUUUUUAUCAUCUUUAUGAGUAUUUUUUCCCCACAUUAUGUGGUCCGGCCUCUCUUAUCUUAUCACAUUCAAUUCCCCAUCUCUUUUUCCAUCACUAAACUUGGUCACAUCAAACCAUUACUGCUCAUUUUUCCUUUUCUCUCAACCAACUUGGAGGGGUCUCUCCUCCCUCUUUCCCACUUCAAAGAGAUUCGCAAGGACAAUCCAACUCUAAUCACCUUCCCUAACUCCCCUUUUCCAUCCCUCUAUAUGUAUCUUAUAGCUUGUCACUAGCUCAAAUACACCUCUCUCUUAAUUCUUUAUUUCUUGAUCUAAUUUCAGACCCUUUUACCAGAAAUCCUACAAUGCCUCCUGUGCAUUCUAGCCCUUACUUCCAAAUGGACAAUCCAGCCAUACUAUCCCUGCUCCGGAAAACCGCCGGCGAGAAACGGUCAAAAUCUAGUUCCGGGGGGCUUCUUAAAAUGUUCAAGCUCUUCCCCAUGUUAACCUCAGGUUGCAAGAUGGUUGCACUUCUUGGCAGGCCUCGAAAACCUUUACUUAAAGACAAUGCUACUACAGGUACCCUUUUCGGAUAUCGCAAAGGGAGAGUAAGUCUAGCCAUUCAAGAGGAUCCUCAUUGCGUGCCAAUGUUUGUUAUAGAACUACCGAUCCAUACGAGUGCUUUUCACAAAGAAAUGGCAUCUGAUAUAGUAAGAAUCGCGCUAGAGAGCGAGACCAAGACUCAUAAGAAGAAAGUGCUGGAAGAGUUUGUGUGGGCUGUUUAUUGUAAUGGAAGAAAGAUAGGCUACUCUAUUAGAAGGAAGCAAAUGUCUGAUGAUGAGCUUCACGUUAUGCAGCUUUUGAGGGGCGUUUCGAUGGGUGCAGGUGUUCUUCCAAGCCCAGAUGAGAAGGAAAGUACAGCAGAUGGUGAAUUGACGUACAUAAGGGCAAGGUUUGAGAGAGUGGUGGGAUCCAAGGAUUCUGAAGCUUUGUAUAUGAUUAAUCCUGAUGGUGCACCAGGGCCAGAAUUGAGUAUUUUCUUUGUCAGGGCUCAUUAGAUUCUGGGCUGUAUGUCUAAACUUAACUUUAAUUUCUUGUUUAUUCAUAAGCGGAAACGAGUUAGUGUGGUUUUCAAAUUUACAGUCCCAUCCCAUGGAUUUUCAGUGUUGAUCACCGUGUGCAAUACCCUAAAUUAACACAAUUUCCAUGCCAAUUUCCCCGGAAAUUAUUUUAUUUUCAGAAAUAUAACCAGGAUAGGUUGCUAUUGUUUCAAAAAGGCAAUUUCACAGGUGAAUUUGGAGAUGACAGGGAUCAACUUUUCAUAUAUAUCUGCAAUUUAUCUGUAGGAAAACAGACAAAAAAAAGAGGAUAAACAAAAACUCUCUCUUGCCUCUCGAUUGUUGAAUUCACCGGGGAAAAAUUUUCCUAUCAACUUCUUCUACCCCAUUAACUUUCUGUCUAAACAAACAGAACAAGCAAAUUAUUGCUCUGAGAAUUUGCCAAAUUGAUAAAUAUAUCUUUUCCACAUUUUAUUAAUUAUGGUUAAAUUCAUAUAGAAUGACAUGAAUGGCCUACUUUGAUAAGAUUAAAAAAAAAAAUCACAUGUAAUAAGACUCUGAGAUAAGA
rnacentral:misc_RNA from 1 species